rnacentral:rRNA from 1 species
GACGUAGGGCGCGAGCGUUGUCCGGAUUUAUUGGGCGUAAAGAGCUCGUAGGCGGCUUGUCACGUCGACCGUGAAAACUCGCAGCUCAACUGCGAGCCUGCGAUCGAUACGGGCAGGCUAGAGUUCGGUAGGGGAGACUGGAAUUCCUGGUGUAGCGGUGAAAUGCGCAGAUAUCAGGAAGAACACCCGUGGCUAAGGCGGCUCUCUAGUACGGUACUGACGCUGAGACGCGAAAGCGUGGGGAGCGAACAGG